AUUGAACGCUGGCGGCAGGCCUAACACAUGCAAGUCGAACGAGUGGCGGACGGGUGAGUAAUGUAUGGGAAACUGCCUGAUGGAGGGGGCUAACUACUGGAAACGGUAGCUAAUACCGCAUACCAUCGGAUGUGCCCAUAUGGGAUUAGCGAGGAGGGUGGGUAACGGCUCACCUAGGCGACGAUCCCUAGCUGGUCUGAGAGGAUAACCAGGCACACUGGAACGGAGACACGGUCCAGAAUCCGACGGGAGGCAGCAGUGGGGAAUAUUGCACAAUGGGCGCAAGCCUGAUGCAGCCAUGCCGCGUGUAUGAAGAAUGCCUGCGGGUUGUAAAGUACUUUCAGCGGGGAGGCGUUACCCUCAGAAGAAGCACCGGCUAACUCCGUGCCAGCAGCCGCGGUAAUAC
rnacentral:rRNA from 1 species